GCUCUCCGUGACUUAGUCAGAAGAACAACCGACUAUGGUGCGGUAGAACUCGGGUUCGAGCCCCGCUGAAAGCA